AGGAAGAAAGAGAAAGAGACCCUACCUACUCCUCAAAAACUGACCUCUCUCCCCAAUCACACACGCAUAAAGGAAGAGAGACCAAGAAUGCUCUCUUUUACUCUCAUAAAUUAAACAAAACAAAAAGAAAAGGAAAUUAAAAUUCUCUCAUUCCCUGCCUCUCCCUGUCUCUACCCAGAGGGGUUUUGCAUUUUUCAAUCGAAGAUUCUCACAUAUUAGCCUUUUGUAGGAUGCUAUCAUAUGGGAUAAGUGACUGUUGACCUGGAAGAUUGUGUAGUUCAUUCUCAGAAUUCCCAUUGGUUAAGUGGUGUGUCUGAUCCAAGCGUGGGGUGCAUUGUCAUGUGCUUGUGCCAAUUCUAAAUAAUAGCCCCCUUCAUGGCCUUUAAAGCCUCUAAUGAAAGAGGAAUUGGGCUUCAACCCAGUUCAUUCAAUAUGGAAGAUGUUGAAUUAAAUACAAAUUGGGAAGAUGUGACUUGUCCUAUAUGUUUGGAUUUCCCUCACAACGGUGUACUCCUUCAGUGCUCAUCUUAUGAGAAAGGAUGCCAUGCUUUUGUUUGUGAUACAAACCACUUACACUCCAAUUGUUUAGACCGUUUCAAAAGUGCAUAUGGUAUGUCAUCUCCUUCAAAAUCUGAUGUGAGUCCUGCAGUAAGUACUGAACAAAUGGCAUCAGAAGAAGAUUGCAGGCCUACUUGUCCCUUGUGUAGGGGGGAAGUUACUGGGUGGGUUGUUGUUGACAAGGCUCGUAGACAUCUAGAUGUGAAGAAGCGUUGUUGUGAGGAGCAUCAAUGUACGUUUAUGGGUACAUACUUGGAAUUGCAAAAACAUGCUCAACUAGAGCAUCCUCAUUCUCGUCCUUCAAAAAUUGAUCCUGCUCGGCAGCUUGAUUGGGAUAAUUUCCAGCAGUCCUCCGAGAUCAUAGAUGUUUUGAGCACUAUUCAUUCAGAAGUCCCUCGUGGGGUGGUUUUAGGAGACUAUGUGAUUGAAUAUGGUGAUGAUGAGACUGGAGAUGAGUUUGAGGACUUCCAUGGGGACGAACGUAACUGGUGGACCUCCUGUAUCUUAUAUCAGGUUUUUGAUAACUUACGAAAUUCUAGAAACAGAAGAAGGUCAAGAGUUGGUGAUGCAAGAAGGGGAAGUCGCCGAGCAAGCUACGAUAAUUCGAAUUCUGAUGAAGGUUCUGUGGCAUCUGUUGAAUUCCCUGAGUAUAGAGCAGAUGAGACUGAUGAUGAUUUUAUGAGUACAAAUGGCUCCUCCAGGGGUGGCUCCAGUCAUCGCAGUUCACGUAGACGUCGUUCUCGCUUCUAUGACAUUUAGGUAUGCUCUACUCGUGGAUCUUACGCAUCCUCUUUUGUGCAGGUGAAGUUUUCCCUGCAAUGGCGUUUUCAUGAAUGCUUAACUAGAGUAGAAGUGAAGGGGCAAGAAAGAGAUUGCUGUGGAUCUCUUCAGUGGUUUGUUUACAUGUAAAAGCAAGCUACAUCUGGAUUGUAUAUUGUUAGAUCUGCAAUGAGGUGUGCUGAUUGGACAUUACAUGACACAUCCGUGGGUUCCAUGGGUCCCUUUUGUUGCUUAAAAGUCUAACCUUUGCUUCAUAUCUUAUUAAUUUGUGGACUAAUUUAGUGUUUACUGUAGUCACCAAAAUCUCCUUCCCCCCUUCUCACUCACACUUUCUCUACACUCGUUAGUCUUUAAGCUUAUUUUCUCAGCACACCUGUUAAAGUUUUAAAAUUAAUUUUUUUCUUUUUAUUUUUA